ACUCUGAAGCAUGAUUCUCCCACUUGAAGAACUCAAGCGGCCACCAUAAGCCACAGUAACCUUCUUGUGCAUUAAAUGGGAAGCAACACACUCCAUUAAAACAUUUUUUGUAUGAUCAUGGAUAUAAUAAGGAAAUGUAUCCCAUGAUAGAGCUAUUUUCUCCCAUGGAGCAAUCCUCCGUAAGAAUUCAUUUUUAAAUCUUUCCCGUCUACUCAGG
rnacentral:misc_RNA from 1 species